rnacentral:tRNA from 1 species
GCCUGGGUGGCUCAGUAGGUUAAGUGUCUAACUUCUGCUCAGGUCAUGAUCUCACAGUUCAUGGGUUCGAGCCCCGUGUCAGGCU